UACGUAGGCAGCGAGCGUUGUUCGGAGUUACUGGGCGUAAAGCGUGCGUAGGCGGUUGUCUAAGUCUGGUGUGAAAUCUCCCGGCUCAACUGGGAGGGUGCGCCGGAAACUGGCGGGCUGGAGGGCAGUAGAGGCAGGCGGAAUUCCGGGUGGAGUGGUGAAAUGCGUAGAGAUCCGGAGGAACACCAGAGGCGAAGGCGGCCUGCUGGGCUGCACCUGACGCUGAGCCGCGAAAGCCAGGGGAGCGAACGGG
rnacentral:rRNA from 1 species